rnacentral:rRNA from 1 species
AGAGUUUGAUCCUGGCUCAGAACGAACGCUGGCGGCGUGCCUAACACAUGCAAGUCGAACGGAGUGAAGGAGCUUGCUCUUUCAUUUAGUGGCGCACGGGUGAGUAACGCGUAGAUAAUCUGCCUUGGACUCUGGGAUAACAUCUCGAAAGGGGUGCUAAUACCGGAUAAGCCCACGAUGGCGUAAGUCAUUGCGGGAAAAGGGGGCCUCUGAAUAUGCUCCUGAUUCAAGAUGAGUCUGCGUACCAUUAGCUAGUUGGUAGGGUAAGAGCCUACCAAGGCGACGAUGGUUAGCUGGUCUGAGAGGAUGAUCAGCCACACUGGAACUGAAACACGGUCCAGACUCCUACGGGAGGCAGCAGUGGGGAAUUUUGCGCAAUGGGGGAAACCCUGACGCAGCAACGCCGCGUGAGUGAUGAAGGCUUUCGGG